rnacentral:lncRNA from 1 species
GGAGGAUCCAGGUGGAGCAGCCCCUAUCUGCCACGUCCCUAUAGGCCUUUGCAAGAUCUUUAUCCUUUGCUUUGCUGAGCUGGGAAGUCACUGGAAGGUACUGAGUAGAGGGUUAAAAUAUUACAACUUAAAAAAAAUAGCUUCUCUCUAGCUGCCAAAUUAAGUAGAAUUUAGGAAAGCAAAAGUGGAUGUAGGAAGACCAACUGGGAAGUUAAGCAGUAACCCAAGUGAGAAACAAAGGUAGCUUAAAAAAAGGUUACAGAAGAGAUGAUAAGAAGCUGUCUGUAUUUCAGAUUUUAUUUUUUGUUUGUUUGUUUUGGUUUUGGUGCUGGGGGUUGAACAUAUACAUGCUAAGCUCUACUACUGAGCUAUACCUCAAGACCUGCCAUAUUUUUUGAUGAUAAAUGCUAAGAAUUUACCACCAUACUUAAUAGUAAAACAGUGGAGAAAAUUCCCAUAGAAACACAAAUAAGGAAUAAGGACCUUAUUUAAUAUUGUACUCAAGUUUAUACAAUGCAAUUAGGCAAAAUAAGUAAAAGAGAAGUAUAAGACUUUGCAAGUGGAAAUAUUGGCAGGUUACAAAACACAAGACAAUCAACUGCAAAACUACUAUAAAGAUACCUCCAGCUUGCACUCUGCCAGACCAUGUUCCACUACAGGGCUGUGUCCUUUCAUGCCUCAUUUACGCAAGGCAAGGACUGAUGAGAGCUUUUGUGCCAUUACUAUAUAGCACACAUAUUUCCCUUGACAAUCAACAUCAAUAACCUUGGAUGCAAUGUAAUACCAUUUCUGUCUUUGGUCCAGUGGCAUUAAAAGCCCCAAAUGGAAAGAAAGUAAUCUCAGAGUUUGAUUUAUGGAAUCAUUAUUGGUUCCCUUGCCUUUAGUGGGAUCAUUCUUCUCUUCAGCAGUAACCUCUCUAAACCAACAGAGCCUAAAGUCACAAGGAAGGAAAGCAAAACCACUAGGUUUAAGAGCAAGAAGUCCUCCUACUAUUUUGGUCUCUGAUCCAUAAGUUCUAAGGAAACCAGUCCUGAACAUUAAUUGCUUGGUUAUAAUAUAAACUUAUAUAAAUUUAGAGGUAGUGUUUCCCAGGCAGUGUGGUGACUGACUCUUCCAUAGGCCAGGGGCCUCCACGUUAAUUCUGUCAGAACCUUCACCAGUUAUGUGCAUAUUGUGAUCUUGCCUGCCAUGCUGAGUACCAUUGGAUCUACUGGGUCCCACACAUCAGACAGGGUCUGAUCAGAGAAGCAGAGCCUCUAGAUAAGUGAUU